CAGUGUUUCGGUGCGGUGCGUCCCGCUUUCCCGCGAGGGAGGCGGUCGGCGCACCCCCCAAAACCCCACCCUUGAAUACUGAACCAUCUGUUGCUUCGGCGGGCCCGCCCCUGGGCCGCCGGGGAUCAUCCCCUGGCCAGCGCCCGCCGAGGAAUCAUUUGAACCCGAUGUGAAUCUGUGGCUGUCUGAGUGGGCUUGCGAAUCGUU
rnacentral:misc_RNA from 1 species